rnacentral:rRNA from 1 species
UGGGGAAUUUUGCACAAUGGGCGGAAGCCUGAUGCAGCGACGCCGUGUGGGGGAUGAAGGCCUUCGGGUUGUAAACUCCUUUCGUCAGGGACGAAGUUUGUUUGACGGUACCUGGAUAAGAAGCACCGGCUAACUACGUGCCAGCAGCCGCGGUAAUACGUAGGGUGCGAGCGUUGUCCGGAUUUACUGGGCGUAAAGGGCUCGUAGGUGGUGUGUUGCGUCGUCUGUGUAAUCCAGGGGCUUAACUUUUGGUUGGACGGCGAUACGUGCAUUGCUUGAGUGCUGUAGGGGAGACUGGAAUUCCUGGUGUAGCGGUGAAAUGCGCAGAUAUCAGGAGGAACACCGAUGGCGAAGGCAGGUCUCGGGGCAGUUACUGACGCUGAGGAGCGAGAGCAUGGGUAGCGAACAGG